rnacentral:rRNA from 1 species
UACGUAGGGUGCAAGCGUUAAUCGGAAUUACUGGGCGUAAAGCGUGCGCAGGCGGUUCUGUAAGACAGAUGUGAAAUCCCCGGGCUCAACCUGGGAACUGCAUUUGUGACUGUAGAGCUGGAGUACGGCAGAGGGGGAUGGAAUUCCGCGUGUAGCAGUGAAAUGCGUAGAUAUGCGGAGGAACACCGAUGGCGAAGGCAAUCCCCUGGGCCUGUACUGACGCUCAUGCACGAAAGCGUGGGGAGCAAACAGG